rnacentral:rRNA from 1 species
UAAAAUAAUUAAGGGCACACAAAGGAUGCCUAGGUAGUAAGAGCCGAUGAAGGACGUGGUAAGCUGCGAUAAGCCUAGAUAAGUUGCAAUCGAACGUAAGAGUCUAGGAUUUCCGAAUGGAGCAAUCUAUUAAGAUGGAGUCUUAAUACGAAAGAGGGAACCGCGUGAACUGAAACAUCUAAGUAACGCGAGGAAAAGAAAGUAAAAACGAUACCCAAAGUAGCGGCGAGCGAAAUGGGUCAAGCCUAAACCUUAAAUAUGUCAAGGAUACAGCCGUUGUAUUUAGGGGGUUGAGGGACAGAGUAGUGAAGAACUGUAAGAUAUUCAAUAUAGUGUAUUGAUGAAUUGGAAUUGUCUGGAAAGGCGAACCGUAGAAGGUGAAAGUCCUGUACAAGUAAAUCCUUACACAUAUAACUCUGCUCCCAAGUAACAUGGAACACGAGGAAUUCUGUGUGAAUCUGUGAGGACCAUAUCUCAUAAGGCUAAAUACUCUUACUAACCGAUAGCGCAUAGUACCGUGAGGGAAAGGUGAAAAGAACCCCUGGAGGGGAGUGAAAUAGAACCUGAAAUUGUGUGCUUACAAGCGGUCAGAGCCAGUAAUGGUGAUGGCGUGCCUUUUGGAGAAUGAUCCUGCGAGUUACGUUAAACGGCGAGGUUAAGUAUAACGGAGCCGAAGGGAAACCAAGUCUUAAUAGGGCGAUUUAGUCGUUUGGCGUAGACGCGAAACCUGGUGAUCUAAACCUGUCCAGGAUGAAGCUGUGGUAAGACACAGUGGAGGUCCUAACCCACCGCCGUUGAAAAGUUGGGGGAUGAGGUAGGUUUAGGGGUGAAAAGCCAAUCGAACCAGGAGAUAGCUCGUUCUCUCCGAAAUGCAUCUAGGUGCAGCCUUGAGUGUUCAAUUAUGGGGGUAGAGCACUGAAUGAUCUAGGGGGCGUAUUGCUUACUGAAAUCAAUCAAACUCCGAAUACCAUAAUUUAGAGCUCAGGAGUGAGACUAUGGGAGUUAACUUCCAUUGUCGAAAGGGAAACAACCCAGACCACCAGCUAAGGUCCCUAAUUAUAACUAAGUGGGAAAGGAGGUGGAGAUUCACAAACAACUAGGAGGUUGGCUUAGAAGCAGCCAUACCUUUAAAGAGUGCGUAAUAGCUCACUAGUCGAGAGUCUCUGCGCCGACAAUGUAACGGGGCUAAGUUAUAAACCGAAGCUGUGGAAUCCGUAAGGAUUGGUAGGAGAGCGUUCUGUAGGCCGUUGAAGGAGAAGGGUAACCGACUCUGGAGGUAUCAGAAGUGAGAAUGCAGGAAUAAGUAGCGAGAAAGGGGGCGAGAAUCCCCCUCGCCGGAAGACCAAGGUUUUCAGGGUAAAGCUUGUCUUCCCUGAGUAAGCCGGGACCUAAGCCCAGGCUAUAAUGCGUAGGCGAAUGGAAAACAGAUUAAUAUUUCUGUGCCAGUCAUAUAUUGUGAUGGAGGGACGCAGAAGGGUAUGCGCGCGGACGAACGGAAGUGUCCGUAGAAGUAUGUAGGAUGACUUGAUAGGAAAAUCCAUUGAGUUAUAUCUGAGGUAUGAUAUACAGUCGUAAGAUGAAUGCGCAAAUCCCACGCUGCCAAGAAAAGCUUCUAACGUUAAUAUUUGACUGCCCGUACUGCAAACCGACACAGGUGGUCAGGAUGAGAAAUCUAAGGCGGACAGGCUAACUCUCGUUAAGGAACUCUGCAAAAUAACCUCGUAACUUCGGGAGAAGAGGAGCCCUUGAGGGUCAGUAUCCACGCGAUACAAAGCGCUCGAGGGUCGCAGUGAAGAGGCUCAAGCAACUGUUUAACAAAAACACAGGUCUAUGCUAAGCUGGAAGGCGAUGUAUAUGGGCUGACACCUGCCCAGUGCUGGAAGGUUAAGAGGAGGAGUGAGAGCUCCGAAUUGAAGCCCCAGUGAACGGCGGCCGUAACUAUAACGGUCCUAAGGUAGCGAAAUUCCUUGUCGGGUAAG